GACGAGCGCUGGCGGCGCGCCUAACACAUGCAAGUCGAACGGAGUUAUUCUGAAUGAAGUUUUCGGAUGGAUUUUGGAUUAACUUAGUGGCGAACGGGUGAGUAACGCGUGAGUAACCUGCCCUGGAGUGGGGGACAACAGUUGGAAACGACUGCUAAUACCGCAUAAGCCCACGGUGCCGCAUGGCACAGACGGGAAAGGUAUUUAUCGCUUCAGGAUGGACUCGCGUCCAAUUAGCUAGUUGGUGAGGUAACGGCCCACCAAGGCGACGAUUGGUAGCCGGACUGAGAGGUUGAACGGGCCACAUUGGGACUGAGACACGGCCCAGACUCCUACGGGAGGCAGCAGGUGGGGGAUAUUGCACAAGUGGGGGAAACCCUGAUGCAGCGACGCCGCGUGGGAGGAAGAAGGGUUUUCGGAUUGGUAAACUCCUGUCGUUAGGGACGAUAAUGACGGGUACCUAACAAGAAAG
rnacentral:rRNA from 1 species